UGACUAUUGAAGGAAGAAUCUGGGUUUAUCUCUGGGACAUGGGAUAAUCAAGUUGGCGGUGGCCUGGCUGAUUUGAAAACAGAAGAAGAAGGACAAUAGUCCAUAUAUCUCUCUGACUAUUUCAUGGACCCCAAGACCUGAGGUACCCACUAGACCCAUUGGAGUUGAGAUAGGAGUCCAGUUAGCAGAGUGGCAGGUAAUGGGAUUGAAAAUGUUGAAAGGGAAGUUUUUAACCAAUGGCUCCAGGGAGGUACCAGGAGACAAUCAGGACUGGAUCAAUCUCCAAGCCGAGUCAAAAGGAAAAGCAAAGAAAAGGACAAGGCAUAUUUGCAGAUCAGAGAAUUACAAGUGAAAGAAGCCAUUGGUACAAAGGAGAAAUCAAUAGGGGAGAGAGGAUGUGGAAGUCAUUACAUCAGGACCCACCAAAGAACCAGCCUGAUUUGAGACUAAAGACUUGGGAGGAUUGGGAUCCUGUCCUAGCUGUCAGAAUUUGCCAAAGGUUUUUGCUAAUAUUCCCUACUCCAAAGGAGCCAUUGUGUAAUGGAGAAACUUGGCAGAUCACCUCCAAAGUGCAUUUUUUCAGUGAAGUCAGUGCACUGGUUAGAACAAAUUACCAGAGGCAAUGACCAACCACAAAGCAUAAAACCCCUCAACCACAAGACCAUGGCCAUUUGUUUUUGUUGACUUCUCAUUCACUUUUUGAAAGGUCUUGGAGCUGAUUCUACAAAGGGGUACUCUGUUCUUACCAACUAGGGUUCUUGGGAGAAUUGAAGGAAAAAAAAUUAGGAAGGAAAGCAAAUAUAAUAUGAUCUUAUCAGGAGUUUUUCCCAAACACAGUGUUCUUUUUUUCCCUGGCACAUUCUGGAACAUACAGAGAUGCCUUCAGUUUAGUUUGUUACACAUGGAUUGAGUAUAAUUCAAUAAGCAAUUCUUAAAAGGUCAUUAUGGACUCAGGACUAUGGAGGCUACUGGGACAAAAUAAAAGAGCAUAUAUGGUCCA
rnacentral:lncRNA from 1 species